rnacentral:rRNA from 1 species
AGAAGUAGGAAAGGGCGCAUGGCGGAUGCCUUGGCUCAUCCAGGCUAUGAAGGACGUGAUAAGCUGCGAAAAGCUCCGGGCAGGUGCAAAUGACCGUUGAUCCGGAGAUCUCCGAAUGGGACAACCCGGCCGUCUGAAGGACGGUCAUCCACGCUUGCCGUGGAAGCCAACGCGGGGAACUGAAACAUCUUAGUACCCGCAGGAAGAGAAAAUAAAUGAAUGAUUCCCCCAGUAGUGGCGAGCGAACGGGGAAGAGCCCAAACCGGUGGCGUGGCAACGCGCCGCCGGGGUUGUAGGACCGCGACGUUGUACUUUGAUCGUGAGUGGAACGGACUGGAAAGUCCGGCCGUAGCGGGUGAAAGCCCCUUACACGAAGCGUGAAGAGACAUAGCGGUAUCCUGAGUAACGCGGAGCACGAGGAAUUCUGCGCGAAACCGCCGGGACCAUCCGGCAAGGCUAAAUACUCGGAUGAGACCGAUAGUGAACCAGUACCGUGAGGGAAAGGUGAAAAGCACUUCGACAAGAAGGGUGAAACAGAACCUGAAACCAUGCGCCUACAAGCGGUCGGAGCAUCAUAUGAUGUGACGGCGUGCCUUUUGCAUAAUGAACCUACGAGUUGCCGUCACCGGCAAGGAUAAGCGGCACGAGCCGCGCAUCCGCAGUGAAAGCGAGCCUGAAGAGGGCGCCGAGUCGGUGGGGGCAGACGCGAAACCAAGUGAUCUACACAUGUCCAGGAUGAAGUCCGGGUAACACCGGAUGGAGGUCCGCACCAAUAAGCGUUGAAAAGCUUCUGGAUGAGGUGUGUGUAGGAGUGAAAGGCCAAUCAAACUUGGAGAUAGCUCGUACUCCCCGAAAGGCAUUUAGGUGCCGCGUGCGGUGAUCACCAUGAGAGGUAGAGCGACCGAUAGGACAAGAGGGCUUCACCGCCUGUCGCGUCCUGACGAACUCCGAAUGCUCAUGGUCGGCAGCCGUGCAGUAAGGGGGCGGGUGCUAAGGUCCGUCCCCGAGAGGAGAAGAAUCCAGACCGCCGCUUAAGGCCCCGGAAUUCUGCCUGAGUUAGUCUAACGAAGUCCGGUCCCUGUGACAGCCAGGAUGUUGGCUUGGAAGCAGCCAUUCAUUCAAAGAGUGCGUAACAGCUCACUGGUCGAGGGUCCGGGCAUGGAUAAUAAUCGGGUAUAAGGCAGAUGCCGAAGGCGCGGGAUAGCAAGUAGAAAAAGUAUCGGUAGGGGAGCAUUCCAGAUGUGUCGAAUGGUGAGCGUAAGCGAUCCUGGAGCGUGUGGAAAAGCAAAUGUAGGUAUAAGUAACGAUAAGGAGGGUGAGAUUCCCUCCCGCCGCAAGUCUGAGGUUUCCCGGGCAAUGCCAGUCAUCCCGGGGUCAGUCGGGCCCUAAGCCUCAUCCGAAGGGAGAGGGCGAUGGCAGAGACGGUCAACAUUCCGUCACUGCCCCUGGGAGCGACGCGGAGACGGAGCAGUGACACGGCCGCGGGGCGACGGAAGUCCCCGUUGAAGGGUGUAGGUGCCGAGAGAGGCAGGAAAGUCCGCCUUUCGAGCCGAACCUGACAGUAUGGAUUCCUCCCCGGAGGACUCCAACAGCGCCGGUAAACAUACUCCCGAGAAAAUCCGCUAAGCUUCAUCCCAGGGGCACCCGUACCGCAAACCGACACAGGCAGACGGGUAGAACAUACUGAGGCGUUGGGAGAUUCAUGGUUAAGGAACUAGGCAAACUGACCCCGUAACUUCGGGAUAAGGGGUCCUCAUAGCAAUAUGAGGCGCAGAGAAUAGGUCCAGGCAACUGUUUAACAAAAACACAGGGCUGUGCGAACUCGAAAGAUGAAGUAUACAGCCUGACACCUGCCCGGUGCCGGAAGGUUAAGAGGAGAAGUCAUCCUUUAGGUGCAGCUUUGAAUUGAAGCCCCGGUAAACGGCGGCCGUAACUAUAACGGUCCUAAGGUAGCGAAAUUCCUUGUCGGGUAAGUUC